rnacentral:rRNA from 1 species
GAAGGGACGUUGAAGACGACGACGUUGAUAGGCCGGAUGUGUAAGCGCAGCGAUGCGUUGAGCUAACCGGUACUAAUGACCCGUGAGGCUUAACCUUACAACGCCAGAGGCGUUUUG